rnacentral:RNase_P_RNA from 1 species
ACAGCAAGCCGUCUUAUCGCUGCUCCCGCAAGGGAGGAGAGGAAAGUCCGGGCAACAUAGAGCAUCCUACUUCCUAACGGGAAGGGGCCUUCCGAGAGACGGGAAGGCUACAGCCAGUGCCACAGAAAAUUACCGCCUCGGCUUCGGCCGCGGUAAGGGUGAAAAGGUGCGGUAAGAGCGCACCAGCGGCUGGGUGACCAGUCCGGCUGGGUAAACCUUAGGAGUUGAAAGACCAAAUAGGCUGACAGCGUCUCGCUUCGGCGGGGCUAAGGGCUGCUCGUCCGAUGUCAGUGGGUAGGUCGAUGGAGCCUGUGCGCGAGUGCAGGCCUAGAUAAAUGAUAAGACGUUGGGCUUCGGCCUGAUGACAGAACCCGGCUUAUAGGCUUGCUGUUAAA